rnacentral:tRNA from 1 species
GGGCGCGUAGCUCAGUUGGCAGAGCAUCUGACUUUUAAUCAGAGGGUCCCAGGUUCGAUUCCUGGCGCGCCUACCA